ACCCCCAGUCGGGUCAAACCGAACACCUGGGCUGGGCAGCUAGGCAGGUACCGACCCGAAAUCCCUGGGCUGAGCUCUGCUGCUGCCCUGGUACCGAAUCGGACCCUGGGGCUGUGCCGCCGAUCAGGUACCAACCUGAACCAAAGCCUUGGCUGGACACCGAACCCCUCAGCCCUGGGCCAGACUGCCGUCCUGGUGCUGACCCGAACUGAAUUCCCCCGCUGGGCUGGGCUGCUGGCCAAAUACCGACCGAACUGAACCUCCUGCCCCGGGCAGGGAUGACGUUCAGGCUGGAGGCGGGCAGCGAGAACUAGGGCACACACACCUGCAUGUUCCUGGCUACUUGUGGGCCCCCACCCGCCAGAAUCCAGGAGCACUGCACCAUUGCCCAGGUGGAGGUCCUUCCCCAGGCAGCAUGGAAGGGGCUGGCUUGUGCCCAGCAGCUCCCUGGUAUCGGGGGGGGGAGAGGGGAACCAGGUGCUGGCCUGGCUACGGAGCAACUGCUGGGCAUCUCCCAAGUAUCCCUCAGCAAGGUGUCGGUUGCCUGCCCCCUCCUGAGCCCUGCCUGACCCCACCCUGACUGCUCCUUCACCUUGUUUCCAGGCAGAGGUGGCCAGAAUGGAGGGACCCCCACUGGUGCCUCACAUUUCCCCGCCUGGUGAGUGCUUCCUGCUGCUCAGUUGUGCGCCGCUCAGCAGGAGGCUUACAGGCCUGGAGCCUGGCCCUCCCCAGCUCGCCAGUUCAAAAGGCUCCUUCUCCAAGGGCACCCCUAGGCCUCAGAAACAGCUGAUCCUGACCUGUGCACUGCCAGAAUGCAGGGCUCUGAGCUGCUUCCCUGCCAGCUGGGGGAGCCGUGCCAUGCCUGCCUUGGCAGAGGGUCACCCCAGUGGUGGCUCUUGUGCCUAGGCACUGCAGUGGGGCGUAUGGGUUGGCGUGCCCACCGGCAGUGUCCAUCCCCACAGGAUCUGUGUGCAUGUGUGGAACUUGCCAGAGGACUCCAGCUGUCCCUUCCCACUCUGAGCCUGGUUUGUCCACUGGUCUCUAGGCCUCUGAGCUGUAGGAGCCAAGCCUCAGGUGUCUGGGGCUUGCCCCAAAGCUCUAUGGUGCCUGCUCUCUUCUCACCCUCCUGUAGGGACAGCUCAAGCAAUGAGGCUGUGAAGACGCACCGAGAGUGAGUCGCGGACGGAUAUACUGGUGGGCAGGGGCAUACCUGGGACAGCUCCACCCAUGGACUCCAGCGCUUCCAGUCAGGGAAACUGGCUUUGCACCUUUGCUGUGUUGAAGAUUGCAGCCAUGUCACCUGUGGGCUAGCUCUUGGCCAGCAGGGAGCUAUACAGCCAGCUGGCCUGUGCCCAUCCCAGCUGGACUCUGCACAGUCACUCAGGCAGGGCAAGCUGCCAUGUCACCCCUGUGGUCACUUCUGGGGGCACCUGCACUGCCCCAAAAGCACAUCAGCCCUUCCCCAUACCUGCCCCAGACAAAACAGGCCCCUGUAGCUGCCAUAGGCCUGUGUACAUGGGGGUGGUGUAUAGUCAGUGCCUCAGUUGUCCUCGUGCCCAGCUUAAAUCCUCCCCAAGCACGUGCCUCUGCGUCCCUCUCCAACUCUUGUCCACUGCUACCAUCACCACUGAUGAGCCAAAAGCCUUCCCAUCCCCCAGCCCCUUCCCAGGAAAAUUGCCUGAACCACCCCCCCAGCCCCCCCGUUUCCCUGCUGCCAAGCCUCUUCCUCUGCCCUCAGGGACUAUGAGACUCAUGCACCUGCACUAUUUGCUGC